CUGGCGAAUCGGCACGGCCAGCUCCCGUCGAACUCCCCCAGGACCGGAAGGUAGCAAGGGUAGACGGUCGUAGCGGCGCGAUGUUCGAUUCGCCUUUUU
rnacentral:SRP_RNA from 17 species